rnacentral:rRNA from 1 species
CACCAAGGCGACGACGGGUAGCCGGCCUGAGAGGGCGACCGGCCACACUGGGACUGAGACACGGCCCAGACUCCUACGGGAGGCAGCAGUGGGGAAUAUUGCACAAUGGGCGCAAGCCUGAUGCAGCGACGCCGCGUGGGGGAUGACGGCCUUCGGGUUGUAAACCUCUUUCACCAGGGACGAAGCGAAAGUGACGGUACCUGGAGAAGAAGCACCGGCCAACUACGUGCCAGCAGCCGCGGUAAUACGUAGGGUGCGAGCGUUGUCCGGAAUUACUGGGCGUAAAGAGCUCGUAGGUGGUUUGUCGCGUUGUUCGUGAAAUCUCAGGGCUUAACUGUGGGCGUGCGGGCGAUACGGGCAGACUGGAGUACUGCAGGGGAGACUGGAAUUCCUGGUGUAGCGGUGGAAUGCGCAGAUAUCAGGAGGAACACCGGUGGCGAAGGCGGGUCUCUGGGCAGUAACUGACGCUGAGGAGCGAAAGCGUGGGGAGCGAACAGGAUUAGAUACCCUGGUAGUCCACGCCGUAAACGGUGGGUACUAGGUGUGGGUUUCCUUCCUUGGGAUCCGUGCCGUAGCUA